ACUCAAAUGAAUUGACGGGGGCUCACACAAGCGGUGGAGCAUGUGGCUUAAUUCGAGGCUACGCGAAGAACCUUAUCCCGGACUUGACAUGUGCGAAAGCGCCCGGUGGUAGGACCCGGAAACGGGAACGGACCCCGCAAGGGGGGGCCGGGCACAGGUGCUGCAUGGCUGUCGUCAGCUCGUGUCGUGAGAUGUCGGGUUAAGUCCCAUAACGAGCGAAACCCCUACCCUGAGUUGCAACCGCAAGGGCACUCUCGGGGGACUGCCGGUGUCAAACCGGAGGAAGGUGGGGAUGACGUCAAGUCCUCAUGGCCUUUAUGUCCGGGGCUGCACACGUGCUACAAUGGCGUGAACAGAGGGAUGCGACCCCGCGAGGGGAAGCCAACCCCACAAAGCACGCCCCAGUUCAGAUCGCAGGCUGCAACUCGCCUGCGUGAAGCCGGAAUCGCUAGUAAUCGCGGGUCAGCAACACCGCGGUGAAUGUGUUCCUGAGCCUUGCACACACCGCCCGU
rnacentral:rRNA from 1 species